rnacentral:rRNA from 1 species
UACGUAGGGGGCGAGCGUUAUCCGGAUUCAUUGGGCGUAAAGCGCGCGUAGGCGGCCGCCUAAGCGGAACCUCUAACCCCGGGGCUCAACCUCGGGCCGGGUUCCGGACUGGGCGGCUCGAGUGCGGUAGAGGAGAGCGGAAUUCCCGGUGUAGCGGUGGAGUGCGCAGAUAUCGGGAAGAACACCGAUGGCGAAGGCAGCUCUCUGGGCCGUCACUGACGCUGAGGCGCGAAAGCUGGGGGAGCGAACAGG